CUAGGUCUUGGAUGGCACAAAAGAGUGGACCUUUCUAACAAGCUCCAAGCAGAGCAGAAGAAAAGGAGGAUAAUUGGCACAAAUCACACAGUCCUGGUGGUCAAGGCGUUCCAAAGUUUAGUACAUAAAUAUAGAAGAGAAAACAAAAUCAGGACGGCACAAUGACCAACUCGCAUUACCUGUUAGAUUUUGACUCUUGAAUAGUUAUCGAAUAUUAAACAAAGCACAUAAAGACC